GCGAAAGACGGGUGAGAAUCCCGUCCACCGAUUGACUAAGGUUUCCAGAGGAAGGCUCGUCCGCUCUGGGUUAGUCGGGUCCUAAGCUGAGGCCGACAGGCGUAGGCGAUGGAUAACAGGUUGAUAUUCCUGUACCACCUAUAAUCGUUUUAAUCGAUGGGGGGACGCAGUAGGAUAGGCGAAGCGUGCGAUUGGAUUGCACGUCUAAGCAGUAAGGCUGAGUAUUAGGCAAAUCCGGUACUCGUUAAGGCUGAGCUGUGAUGGGGAGAAGACAUUGAGUCUUCGAGUCGUUGAUUUCACACUGCCGAGAAAAGCCUCUAGAUAGAAAAUAGGUGCCCGUACCGCAAACCGACACAGGUAGUCAAGAUGAGAAUUCUAAGGUGAGCGAGCGAACUCUCGUUAAGGAACUCGGCAAAAUGACCCCGUAACUUCGGGAGAAGGGGUGCUCUUUAGGGUUAACGCCCAGAAGAGCCGCAGUGAAUAGGCCCAAGCGACUGUUUAUCAAAAACACAGGUCUCUGCUAAACCGUAAGGUGAUGUAUAGGGGCUGACGCCUGCCCGGUGCUGGAAGGUUAAGAGGAGUGGUUAGCUUCUGCGAAGCUACGAAUCGAAGCCCCAGUAAACGGCGGCCGUAACUAUAACGGUCCUAAGGUAGCGAAAUUCCUUGUCGGGUAAGUUCCGACCCGCACGAAAGGCGUAACGAUUUGGGCACUGUCUCAACGAGAGACUCGGUGAAAUCAUAGUACCUGUGAAGAUGCAGGUUACCCGCGACAGGACGGAAAGACCCCGUGGAGCUUUACUGUAGCCUGAUAUUGAAAUUCGGCACAGCUUGUACAGGAUAGGUAGGAGCCUUUGAAACGUGAGCGCUAGCUUACGUGGAGGCGCUGGUGGGAUACUACCCUAGCUGUGUUGGCUUUCUAACCCGCACCACUUAUCGUGGUGGGAGACAGUGUCAGGCGGGCAGUUUGACUGGGGCGGUCGCCUCCUAAAAGGUAACGGAGGCGCUCAAAGGUUCCCUCAGAAUGGUUGGAAAUCAUUCAUAGAGUGUAAAGGCAUAAGGGAGCUUGACUGCGAGACCUACAAGUCGAGCAGGGUCGAAAGACGGACUUAGUGAUCCGGUGGUUCCGCAUGGAAGGGCCAUCGCUCAACGGAUAAAAGCUACCCCGGGGAUAACAGGCUUAUCUCCCCCAAGAGUUCACAUCGACGGGGAGGUUUGGCACCUCGAUGUCGGCUCAUCGCAUCCUGGGGCUGUAGUCGGUCCCAAGGGUUGGGCUGUUCGCCCAUUAAAGCGGUACGCGAGCUGGGUUCAGAACGUCGUGAGACAGUUCGGUCCCUAUCCGUCGUGGGCGUAGGAAAUUUGAGAGGAGCUGUCCUUAGUACGAGAGGACCGGGAUGGACAUACCUCUGGUGUACCAGUUGUCGUGCCAACGGCAUAGCUGGGUAGCUAUGUGUGGACGGGAUAAGUGCUGAAAGCAUCUAAGCAUGAAGCCCCCCUCAAGAUGAGAUUUCCCAACUUCGGUUAUAAGAUCCCUCAAAGAUGAUGAGGUUAAUAGGUUCGAGGUGGAAGCAUGGUGACAUGUGGAGCUGACGAAUACUAAUCGAUCGAAGACUUAAUCAAAUU
rnacentral:rRNA from 1 species